rnacentral:rRNA from 1 species
AAACUGUUAAACUAGAGGCUACCAGAGGCUGGUAGAACUCACGGUGGAGGAGUGGAAUCCGUUGAUCUCGUGAGGAAUGCCGAAAGCGAAAGCAGCCGGCUAGGGUAAGCCUGACGCUCAGGGACGAAAGCGUGGGUAGCGAAGAGGAUUAGAGACCCUCGUAGUCCACGCCGUUAACGAUGGAUACUGGCUAUUGGAAGUGUCGACCCUUUCAGUGGCGAAGCUAACGCGUUAAGUAUCCCGCCUGGGUAGUACGGCCGCAAGGCUAAAACUCAAAGGAAUAGACGGGGACCUACACAAGCGGUGGAUCAUGUGGCUUAAUUCGACGCUAAGCGAAGGACCUUACCAGGGAUUGACAUACUAGUGAAGUCUGGUGAAAACCGGACGUGCCUUCGGGAGCACUAGUACAGGUGCUGCAUGGCUGUCGUCAGUUCGUGUUUUGAAAUGUGCCGUUAAGUCGGAGAACGAACGCAACCCCUGUCCUAUGUUUCAAGUGUCAUAGGAGACUGCCCCGAACAACGGGGAGGAAGGUGGGGAUGACGCCAAGUCAGCAUGGCCCUUUGAUACCCUGGGCUGCACACAUGAUACAAUGGGACCUUACAAUGCGCAGCGACAUCGCGAGAUGAAGCUAAUCGCUAAAAGGUUUCUAAGUUCGGAUUGGAGUCUGCAACUCGACUCUA